GCACGAUGGUGCAGUGGGUAGCACUGUUGCCUCAAAGCAAGAGGGUUCUUGGUUUGAAUCCUGGCCUGGGCC
rnacentral:tRNA from 1 species